CAGAGUUGAAAAACUCCCCUAAACCAUUGUGAACCUACCACUAAACAGUUGCUUCGGCGGGUGGGCCCCUCCCCAGCGAGGGGCCCCGCUAGACCGCCCGCCGGAGGUACCCAAAAACUCUUGUUUAAUUAAAAAGGCCUCUCUGAGUACUGUACUUUAAAUAAGUCA
rnacentral:misc_RNA from 1 species